GAUGAACGCUGGCGGCGUGCCUAAUACAUGCAAGUCGAGCGAACAGACGAGGAGCUUGCUCCUCUGACGUUAGCGGCGGACGGGUGAGUAACACGUGGAUAACCUACCUAUAAGACUGGGAUAACUUCGGGAAACCGGAGCUAAUACCGGAUAAUAUAUUGAACCGCAUGGUUCAAUAGUGAAAGACGGUUUUGCUGUCACUUAUAGAUGGAUCCGCGCCGCAUUAGCUAGUUGGUAAGGUAACGGCUUACCAAGGCAACGAUGCGUAGCCGACCUGAGAGGGUGAUCGGCCACACUGGAACUGAGACACGGUCCAGACUCCUACGGGAGGCAGCAGUAGGGAAUCUUACGCAAAGGGCGAAAGCCCGACGGAGCAACGCCGCGUGAGUGAUGAAGGUCUUCGGAUCGUAAAACUCUGUUAUUAGGGAAGAACAAAUGUGUAAGUAACUAUGCACGUCUUGACGGUACCUAAUCAGAAAGCCACGGCUAACUACGUG
rnacentral:rRNA from 1 species